AGAAUGUUCUAAUUUCUUUCUUUUACAGGUAGCUGUCCAGUUUUCCCAGCACCACUUAUUGAAGAGACUGUCUUAUCUCCAUUGUAUGUUCUUGCCUCCUUUGUUGCAAAUUAAUUGGCCACAGGUUCUUCCCUAUCUUUACAUGAGGACAGCUCCCAGCAGGAACUACUGAUUUCUCAAAUUUUUCAAAGUUCUCUUGAGGCCAUUACAUCAGCUCUGAAGACAGUCAGAAUGGACACAUACAUUUAUUGUCUUCUCAAGAAUCUGUGCAGUGACAUGUGGAAUUGUUCUGUACUGCUUCACCAGCAGCAAAACAAAAUAAGAAUGAAGCAGUUGAUCUGCAGACAUGGUGUGGCUGAGGAUACAUGAAGGGUGGCAACAGGGCCGAGAGAGUCGGGAGGAGGUGUAGGGGGUGCAUACAGG